CCUCUUGAAUUCACAGAACGCGCGGCCUAGAUUAGAGGUGUCCUUCGGGACUAUGGACAUAAACGCGCUCGUAAUAAGCGGUUCGGACCCGGGGGCGGUACCCGGCGGCUCCACCAAAACCCGUUCAUUUGACGGUUCUGGGGUCGAAAUAGGAUCGACGAACGUCUAAAGGUGUAGCUUUGUUUCGGCUGACUGCCACCGUUAUCGGCGUAAAAUGUACAAUUGCAAAUGACAAUCGUGCUCCAAUGGCGAUGGCCGCGUAAGCGACCGGAACUGUUGAAAAUUAAGUCCUUGCGCUUAGCGGUGUAAGGCGGGGUUCGCAGGCACCUGGCAACAGAAGCCUGCACU
rnacentral:tmRNA from 1 species